CUGACCUUUCAAGACCGGGAGAUUAUUGAUAUCCAGGAGAGUAGGACAUAUGGCCAGGGCACAGAACAUCAGGGAGGGAACUACAGAUCAUUUUGUUAGCAGAGCUGCACACCUUUGUGCAAGAGAAGAACAAACCAUUGUACUGUCAGGAAUUUUCACAAAAUGUUUUCACUUGGAAUGUAGAAGCAAUCCUAUACAGGAAACUAAGUAUGACAAAGCACCUCAAUCUCAUUCAUGGAAAUACACACUGAGCAUAAUUACUGCUCCCACAAUGCUG
rnacentral:lncRNA from 1 species